rnacentral:rRNA from 1 species
UAAGCGACUAAGCGUACACGGUGGAUGCCCUGGCAGUCAGAGGCGAUGAAGGACGUGCUAAUCUGCGAUAAGCGUCGGUAAGGUGAUAUGAACCGUUAUAACCGGCGAUUUCCGAAUGGGGAAACCCAGUGUGAUUCGUCACACUAUCAUUAACUGAAUCCAUAGGUUAAUGAGGCGAACCGGGGGAACUGAAACAUCUAAGUACCCCGAGGAAAAGAAAUCAACCGAGAUUCCCCCAGUAGCGGCGAGCGAACGGGGAGCAGCCCAGAGCCUGAAUCAGUGUGUGUGUUAGUGGAAGCGUCUGGAAAGGCGCGCGAUACAGGGUGACAGCCCCGUACACAAAAAUGCACAUGCUGUGAGCUCGAUGAGUAGGGCGGGACACGUGGUAUCCUGUCUGAAUAUGGGGGGACCAUCCUCCAAGGCUAAAUACUCCUGACUGACCGAUAGUGAACCAGUACCGUGAGGGAAAGGCGAAAAGAACCCCGGCGAGGGGAGUGAAAAAGAACCUGAAACCGUGUACGUACAAGCAGUGGGAGCACGCUUAGGCGUGUGACUGCGUACCUUUUGUAUAAUGGGUCAGCGACUUAUAUUCUGUAGCAAGGUUAACCGAAUAGGGGAGCCGAAGGGAAACCGAGUCUUAACUGGGCGUUAAGUUGCAGGGUAUAGACCCGAAACCCGGUGAUCUAGCCAUGGGCAGGUUGAAGGUUGGGUAACACUAACUGGAGGACCGAACCGACUAAUGUUGAAAAAUUAGCGGAUGACUUGUGGCUGGGGGUGAAAGGCCAAUCAAACCGGGAGAUAGCUGGUUCUCCCCGAAAGCUAUUUAGGUAGCGCCUCGUGAAUUCAUCUCCGGGGGUAGAGCACUGUUUCGGCAAGGGGGUCAUCCCGACUUACCAACCCGAUGCAAACUGCGAAUACCGGAGAAUGUUAUCACGGGAGACACACGGCGGGUGCUAACGUCCGUCGUGAAGAGGGAAACAACCCAGACCGCCAGCUAAGGUCCCAAAGUCAUGGUUAAGUGGGAAACGAUGUGGGAAGGCCCAGACAGCCAGGAUGUUGGCUUAGAAGCAGCCAUCAUUUAAAGAAAGCGUAAUAGCUCACUGGUCGAGUCGGCCUGCGCGGAAGAUGUAACGGGGCUAAACCAUGCACCGAAGCUGCGGCAGCGACGCUUAUGCGUUGUUGGGUAGGGGAGCGUUCUGUAAGCCUGCGAAGGUGUGCUGUGAGGCAUGCUGGAGGUAUCAGAAGUGCGAAUGCUGACAUAAGUAACGAUAAAGCGGGUGAAAAGCCCGCUCGCCGGAAGACCAAGGGUUCCUGUCCAACGUUAAUCGGGGCAGGGUGAGUCGACCCCUAAGGCGAGGCCGAAAGGCGUAGUCGAUGGGAAACAGGUUAAUAUUCCUGUACUUGGUGUUACUGCGAAGGGGGGACGGAGAAGGCUAUGUUGGCCGGGCGACGGUUGUCCCGGUUUAAGCGUGUAGGCUGGUUUUCCAGGCAAAUCCGGAAAAUCAAGGCUGAGGCGUGAUGACGAGGCACUACGGUGCUGAAGCAACAAAUGCCCUGCUUCCAGGAAAAGCCUCUAAGCAUCAGGUAACAUCAAAUCGUACCCCAAACCGACACAGGUGGUCAGGUAGAGAAUACCAAGGCGCUUGAGAGAACUCGGGUGAAGGAACUAGGCAAAAUGGUGCCGUAACUUCGGGAGAAGGCACGCUGAUACGUAGGUGAAGUCCCUCGCGGAUGGAGCUGAAAUCAGUCGAAGAUACCAGCUGGCUGCAACUGUUUAUUAAAAACACAGCACUGUGCAAACACGAAAGUGGACGUAUACGGUGUGACGCCUGCCCGGUGCCGGAAGGUUAAUUGAUGGGGUCAGCGCAAGCGAAGCUCUUGAUCGAAGCCCCGGUAAACGGCGGCCGUAACUAUAACGGUCCUAAGGUAGCGAAAUUCCUUGUCGGGUAAGUUCCGACCUGCACGAAUGGCGUAAUGAUGGCCAGGCUGUCUCCACCCGAGACUCAGUGAAAUUGAACUCGCUGUGAAGAUGCAGUGUACCCGCGGCAAGACGGAAAGACCCCGUGAACCUUUACUAUAGCUUGACACUGAACAUUGAGCCUUGAUGUGUAGGAUAGGUGGGAGGCUUUGAAGUGUGGACGCCAGUCUGCAUGGAGCCGACCUUGAAAUACCACCCUUUAAUGUUUGAUGUUCUAACGUUGACCCGUAAUCCGGGUUGCGGACAGUGUCUGGUGGGUAGUUUGACUGGGGCGGUCUCCUCCUAAAGAGUAACGGAGGAGCACGAAGGUUGGCUAAUCCUGGUCGGACAUCAGGAGGUUAGUGCAAUGGCAUAAGCCAGCUUGACUGCGAGCGUGACGGCGCGAGCAGGUGCGAAAGCAGGUCAUAGUGAUCCGGUGGUUCUGAAUGGAAGGGCCAUCGCUCAACGGAUAAAAGGUACUCCGGGGAUAACAGGCUGAUACCGCCCAAGAGUUCAUAUCGACGGCGGUGUUUGGCACCUCGAUGUCGGCUCAUCACAUCCUGGGGCUGAAGUAGGUCCCAAGGGUAUGGCUGUUCGCCAUUUAAAGUGGUACGCGAGCUGGGUUUAGAACGUCGUGAGACAGUUCGGUCCCUAUCUGCCGUGGGCGCUGGAGAACUGAGGGGGGCUGCUCCUAGUACGAGAGGACCGGAGUGGACGCAUCACUGGUGUUCGGGUUGUCAUGCCAAUGGCACUGCCCGGUAGCUAAAUGCGGAAGAGAUAAGUGCUGAAAGCAUCUAAGCACGAAACUUGCCCCGAGAUGAGUUCUCCCUGACUCCUUGAGAGUCCUGAAGGAACGUUGAAGACGACGACGUUGAUAGGCCGGGUGUGUAAGCGCAGCGAUGCGUUGAGCUAACCGGUACUAAUGAACCGUGAGGCUUAACCU